UAGAAAGCACUACUCCAAGUGGAGGAAAUGAAGGGUGGGUUUCUGAUAAUAUUAACAAAGGUCAUUUCGACAAGUAUUAUUGGGUUAUAGUUGGAAUUAAUGCUCUAAAUCUAUUGUAUUACUUAGUAUGCAGUUGGGCUUAUGGACCUACAGUUGAUGAAGUAUCCAAUGUGAGUAAAGAAAAUGGUUCCAAAGUGGAAGAAUCAACUGAAUUCAAGCAUAUGAAUCCACACUUUGAUGACAAGGUUAGUGGUGAAACUAGUUCAAAGGAGAAAGAGUUAACUGAAUUCAAGAAUGGGGCCCAGGUUGAGAAAGUAUUCAAGAAUAGUGAACAAAGGGACUUGAAGGAGGAAGAUUUGUGAUAGAAGGCUUAUAUUUCGUCCAAUUCAUUUGGAGAAAUGUUAUAAACGCUUUUUUUAACACUCCUAACACCUCAUCUUUUAUUUGAUGAAAUUCACGUGGGACUCAUCAUUGUAUGAGGGAUUCAUUUUUAAAGCGUGGGAUCAACAUGUGUUUCAUCCAAUAAUAAAAUGGUGUUAGAGAGUGUUAGAAGAAUGUGUCCAUAACACUUCUCAUUCAUGAAUCUUUUUUAGGAAUUUUAGUUAGCAUAUUUUUUAUUUUAUUUUGGUAUAUUGUUAGUUAUUUUUGAAUUCUUAGGUUCUAAGAUUUUCUUAUGGGCUUUAAGAUUAUGACACAUGGAUGUGAUCAUUUAUUUAGAUUAGUAAGUAUUGUUAAUAAAUUUGAUUUGAUAUCUUUAUCAAUAUAGCAUUUGAUAUUAUAUAUAUAUAUAUAUAUAUAUAUAUAUAUUAUUCUGUCACUUACACCUAAUUAGAAAGAAUAAUAAUGAAUACUCCAUUGUCUAAUUUAUUUAAUAUAUUUUAGGAAAGUAAAUUAUUUACAACAAGGGAUGAAAUCAAUUCUUAAUUAACUUGUCAAAAAAAUCAAUUCUUAAUUAACAUCUUCAAAUUGAUGUGGUUGGUAAAUAAGCAUCAAUUUGCUAACAAGAAAUUGAUAACACCGGUGUCAAUAACCACCUUGCUAUUAAGUAGUCAUCAUGAGUGUCACGUUGAUUGACAAACGACUUUAAUAUGAUUGGUGCAUGCGUUCAAGAAAGAAAAGACUUUCAACAACUUGGAUGAACACUUGUGUUGUUGACUUAAAGAGAUAUCGGCCAUGUUUGAGGAAAUUCAAGUUCAACCAAAAGACCUUGAAAACAAAUUAUUUGCGAACAAGCAGCAAACAUGGCACGUUUACUCAUAUUCAGUAGAAGGUUUAGAGUCUCUUGCUUUUUACUUGUCAAUGAUAUCAAAGAAGAUCCAAGAAACAUGCACAACCCAGUGACACAUUGUUGAAUGUCAGAACACCCUCCCAGAUUAGCAUCAAGUAAGCACUCUGUUUAAGAGUUAUCCAAGUGGGAAAGAAUAUUCCACACUGAGUGGUUACUUAAAGUAGCAAAUUAUACGACGGACCAUUGUCAAAUGAAGAUGAAGAGGAAUGAUGUCAGUCUGUCAUAUUAUGUGUUUAGCAGUUAUUAGGAGUCACUUCACAAUUAUUUUAACAAGUUUAGUUGAGUUUUGUAACAAAUCAAAAGAAAGAUCAUGGAAAGGGUAAUGGUGCAUACAAAACUUUGGAACCAUGGCAAAUCACCCAAAAUAGACAACUAUGUGAUCAUGCUAUACUUUUUACUUGAUGUAUCAAAUGAUCCUUAAGGAUAUAGUCACUAUGGACGCUUUGGUGAGGAAAAAUGGAUAAAGGAAUGAAGAAAAAUAGAGGAACCGACUACUAGUACAUGCAUGAUGCGUGCUAUAAGCUGCGCGAUGCACAACUUAGGAGAAAUAAAAAAUAUUUAGUCAUUGGUACAUGUGUGAUUCAUGCUAAAAGUUGUGUGUUCUGCAACUGAAAUGAAAUCAGAAGUGUUUUGCCACUAGAGAUGCGUGAUGCACAUAAGGUUAUGUGUGUUGCGCACAUACAUUUCCGUAAAUCAAGUGACACAUGAUGAUGAUGAUAGGGAUUUGUAUUCACCUAACCCUGGCUAAUCGAUUAAUAUAUUUGUCGAUCACCUUAGUUUGUUGAUGAAUUCUCUUGCGUUGAUCUACCAAGCAUUCUUCUAUGCUAGAGGCAUGAGGCAUCUCCUACUCACAAACAUCCACAUUUUUUAAUAAAAUCAAAUACAUAAUUUUUUUUUUUUGGCAAAUCAAAUACUUGUUUUUUCCACAAGGCUAAAAUAAAACCAUGAAAAAAAAAUGAACAAAAAGAGAGCUACUCUCUCAAAAAGAAAAUUCCAUCUGCAUCACUUUGGAGGAGAUUCUGGAGGUUUACCGGAGAACACUCAUGUCGAAGAAACUCGACAUCAAAAGAGGCACUAGGCUUGGCAAAAAAAAUCCGCACAUUGAUUCCCAUCCCUAAGGGUGUGAUUGACCAUAACAUUUCCCCUGCUCCAAUAACUAUUUUAUGUCUUGGAUUAAAACGGCAUAAACAUGAAACCUCAUUGGGGGACCAUGGAGGAUGUUGAGACAAUGUAAAGAGUCAGAGUAACAAACAAAAUCAGUAAUGCCUAUUUCUUUGGCCAACAAGAGACCCUUAUAUAUGACAUAUGUAACGCCCUAUUUAUUCAUUUAAAUAUUUUGGUUGAUUUUGGUUGAUUUAAAGUCUUUUAUAUGACUUAUAUGAAUUAUGUUGAUUUUGUGGUGUGUUGUAUUUUAUUAAAUGUUAUAUUUUAUUAUUUAUUAGAAUAUGUGAGAAUUAGAAAUAAUGGGAGUUAAGUUAAGGAGUUAAGAAAUUGAGAAGUCAGAAAAACAUUUCACGUGAAAACAAGUUUUUGGGGGAGAAAAAGGGAGAAGAGCCAAGUGAAGAAUCGGAGAGAUCGUAGAGCUUCGUUUGUCAGAAUUAAUGUAAGGGUGAUACUAACUUUCAAUAAUUAUAGUGUAUGUAAAUUCUGAAAUUGAUUUAACAUGAUGGUUGUUCUUGGUUUUGGGAAUUAGGUUUUCCAUUGUUGAAUUUGAUUAGAAAAGUGUAGAAACCAUGGCAAUUGUGUUAAGAAUUGAUGUUCAAGUUGUAGAAUAAUCAUAGGUUAAGUUUCCUAUCAAAUUUGGGUUCAUGAAAAUUGGGAUUUUCGCUUGAAAGGUCGGUGUCUAAACGUUUUUGCAAAUAAGUGAUUAUGUGAGGUUUGGGAAAAUGAUUCUUGGGAUGGUUGAGACUUGAAUUUGCUGUAGAUUAAGAUAGAGCCAAGUGUCAGAAGCGUGUAGGCGAAAACGACAUCAAAUUAACGGUUUGAAUUUUACGCGCGAAAUGGUGAAAAUCGCACUUUUUGAGAAGCAGAUUUCUGGACCUGAUGCUGUCAAAACGUAUCACGAUUUUGCGAGCGUGGUACGAUUUUGUUGGCCGAAAGUUCAAUGGUUAUAAGCAUAAAAACGUGGCACGAUUUUCUAAAAUCGUGACACGAUUUUUGUGAAUCAGAUCCUUCUUAUUUCACUAUUUUUCACCCCUUUCCGCUUUGAACUGGGUUUUGGUGUAAACAUAAAAGUUUUAGAUAAUUUUGUUAGCUUUCCAAUGACUUUGGUUUGACUUGAAAAUGAUUUUUGGUUUUUGAGAUAUGAUGAAAAUACUCCAAGGAGGUCUUAGUGAAAUCUUAUGAAAAUUCAGCAUAACCGUUCUAAGUUAAUCUAAAACUUAUGGAAUAAUUCGAAACCUCAAAACUAGAAGUACCAUGAGUUCAAUUAAGGUGUUUAAGAUUAUUUAACCUAUGUUGUGAUGGAUCUAAUUUGGUUUGACGUGAAUAUCUUUGUUGGAUGAUUUAAUAUCUAUAUGAAUGUAUAUGUUGAUGAAUUUCGUUGUUAAGAGUCGUCCUAUCACAGUUGACCAAGUUGUGUAGUAAGUCAUAAUUAUUUAUGUACAAUUGUUGUUGUCGUUGUCAUUGUCUACGUUGUCGUUGAUGUUGCUGAGUUGUAUGCUGAUAUACACAAAGUUGAGUCCAUUGCAUACUCAUAAAUUGUUGAGGGCUUAUGCCCUGUGAAUGCUAGUUUAUUCAAAAAUGUUGAGGGCUUAUGCCCUGUGAAUGCCUUGUCAUUCAACACGUUAAUUUUAAGUUGAGGGCUCAUGUCUUGUCAUUCAAACUGUUGAGGGCUCAUGCCCUGUGAAUGCUCGUUCAUUCAAAUGCGUUAAAAUGGUACCACAUGCAUGUGCAUUGUCGCAUUUGUCGUUGUGUCGUUGCAUAGUCGUUGUUGUUGGUUGAGUUUGUAGGUGUUGUUAAUGUUGAUGAAAUAUGAAACAAGACUGUUGAAUUAUCCGUUGUUAAUUAGGUUGUUAAAUACAGUUGAUGAUUUAUAUACCUAUUAUUAUUGUUUGUGAAUCUCACCCCUUCUGCUUCGAAAUGUUGCUAUUCGUAUGGGUAACUUGCAGGUGAUCGAGAAUUGUUGAUGUUAGAUGAUGUCGUGAGUGGACCUUCUCUCAUGUGUGUCUUAGGUGCUCUGAUACGUAACGGGAUGAGAAUUUGUUAUCGCUUUCUGUUCCUUACGUAUUGUUUUAAGGACAUGUUGUUGGAACAAUUUUAUGAGAUUUAUGUUGAAGCCUUGGUGCCAAGUUGUUUAAAAGUUGAAUAAUUUCCGUUGCGAUGAAAUAAAUGAUACGUUGUUGAAUUUAAAGGAUGAAUAGUUAUUUAUUCUGUUUAUGAUUUUAUGAAAGAAGUGUGACAUUCCGUUUAUGUUGAAAAUACUUUGAUUUAUAUGUGAUUAUAUGUGAAAUUUUUAAGUUGGGAAAACGAGGUGUUACAACAUAGAGCUCAACAUACAAGAUAUCAUUUGAAUUUUGAAUGUAUCUAGAAAAUCCUCACAAGAAAAAAGAUGCAUAAUUUCUUAAAAUUCCUCCAUAACCUACUCUUAUAGGAGAUCCAAUACAACUUCCAUCAACAUUAAGGAUGACACAAAAAUGAUUAUUGUUGUUCCGCUUGAUGAAUUGGUCUUCAUCAGUAGUACUAAAGAUGGAAGGAUAACAAGCUUAGAGGGUAUCAACCAUACCUUGAAUGUUGAAGGAUAAUUUAGCAUUCGACCAGUUCUCGUUACCUAAGCACAUCAUGUUUCGAUUCCUCCAUGCCCACCAAAUUGUUGCUGCAAAAAGGAAAUAGUAAGGGCCCAUCAACCCAUUCUUAUGUGGUUUGUAUGGGCCAUUUAUUCAACAUUUCACGUGCCCGUCUUUCCACUCUUUUUAUUUCGCUAAUAUUUAAAAAUUAUUAACAGUAUUUUUUUUUUUUAUGAAAUUUUGAUUUGGAUUAAAACUAAAAAUAUGAAUGUUUGUUGCUUUCAAGUUAUAAUAAACUAAACUAACCAUGAUUAUUUAUUUCAAUGACACCAACAAUACAACAACAAAAAAAUAUAAUCCAAAUUCUUUUUUUUUAAUGAAACCAACAACAAUCUUUAUUAAAGAAAAAGUUGUUUAAGAGUAUAAUUGAGAUAAUGAAAAAGUAAGUAUAAAUAUACUCAUCUAGUUUGUUACACUUUUUAAAUGAUAAAGAAAAAAAAACCAUAUAUAUAUAUAUAUAUAUAUAUAUAUAUAUAUAUUCAUAUCGUGUUUUUUACAUUUUUUUAAUAUUUAAAUUUAUUCUUAUCUUUUUGUUAUGUGUUAUUUGUAUUCAAAAUUGAGGGCAUUUUUGAAAGAAAAAGUCAGCCCAAAAGAGUUGAAAAAUGAUUGUUUUAUUUUUAUAUAGCAUAGAUAUAUUACUACUCCCUUCAUCCCUGUAUGUAAGCACCCUUUGCAUUUUUCACAUUUCUUAAGCAAAAAUUGUUAGUGCAAUUAAUGCGUCUAUUUUGUGUGUUAAUAUUACUUAAUUGUCCUUUGUUUAUAUGUGUAUUAAAAUUUACUUUUUAUAUUUCAAGAUAAGUUAGUAGUAUUAAUUAUGGGUAUGUUAAGGAAUAAAAUCAUAAAUGCAUCUAAUAAUUUAAAAAAGAAUUUAUAUUUAAAGACAAAUUUUUAGUCAAAAGAAUACAGGAACAUACCACCACCUAAAAAAAAUUCUCAAAAUUUAGUGCAGGCAACGGCCUACAGACUUAUGUACAUGCAUAUGUCCCUGGUCCCAACAACCUUUUUUUUUUAGGGGACCCUACAACCUGUUAUUAUACUCCUUAAAAGAAAACCUGUUAUUAUAUCAACCAAAUGAAUGUCAAUGUUUUUUUUUUUUUGGUAAUGAAAUGUCAAUGCUUUAUUUCCUUUUACUUUUAAAUUUUGGUUAAAAUAUAAUUUUAGUCCCUUCAAAUAUGUCUCGUUUUGGUUUUAGUCCCUAUAAAAAAAAAAUGUUUUUGGUCCCUGCAAAAUUUUUUGUUUUUGAAAAUAGUCCCUGACCUCACUUUUGUGAUGAUUUGCAUACGUGGCACAUUAUAACUGAACAAAUUUUGUAGUUUUUGGUCCCUGCAAAAUAUUUUGUUUUUAAAAAAGGUCCCUGCAAAAUAUUUUGGUUUUAAAAAAGGUCCCUGCAGGGACCAAAAACAAUUUUUUUUUACAGGGACUAAAACCAAAACGAGGCAUAUUUGCAAGGGCUAAAAUCAUAUUUUAGCCUUAAAUUUUUAUUUACGUUUUUUUUUAUGAGUCAAGAUAGUAAGGAAGACAUCGAGAAAAGUUAAAUAUCUCAACUAAGUUGACACUUUAAAGCUUCUCUCAUCUUGUACCACCUGUUCGAAAAUUUUAUUAAAAAAAGAAAAACUGUAUAAGAGAGGGACUAAGCCAAAACCCUCAAAAACAUAAAACAAGAAUGGUAAAACAUAGAUAUAAGGGAAAUGGAAAUUCGGAAGACCAUGUAUGUCCCUAAAAAAAAUCCUUCCAAAGAAAAAUAGGUAAAAAAAACCCACCAAACGACAUUGAUAAUAACAUGACCAUGACUACCAGUAUUUUAAGAUGACCGUGUAUGUUAAGAUGAAUUUGGAUGACUUUUGGUUGAUGAUAUUGGGGCUUAUGAAGGUACUUUAUGUGAUUACAAAGGUUUUUUUUUAGGAUGUUUUGCAUCUAAUCUAAGACCUAUAUUCAAUCAUUGAAGCGGAAUUGAACAACAUGCUAAUGUUAUUAUUCUGUUAAAAAAAAAAAAAUUCGUACACAAGUUUUAACAUUUUUUCCUCUCUUUUCUCCUUUUCAAACUUUAGCCGUCGCGGAUUUUUUUAUUUAUUGAAAAGUGGUGAUUUAUGGUUAAUUUUGAUGCAAAUCACCCCUCUACAUUGUUUUUCUUUCUUUUAGUUAAAUAAAUGAUUUCCACAUACAUACCCUCAGACUUCAUUAGUUUAUUUUGUGAUUUCGUCGUUUUAGCACGACUUUGUUUGUUUUGAUUUUCCGUCUUUGUGCAAUGUAUUUUUUAUUUCCUAUCUGUGGUGUUUAUACGAUUUCAUGUUAAAAGAUUAGUUUUGAUCAAGUGCAGAUUCAAUCAAUGACUUUGAUAUCGUCAACGUUGCACAUCCGAGCAUAUGAGAAUUCCAUAUACUUGAAUAUAUUCAUAUAUCUUUUAGGCAUUGAAUAUAGUCAUAUUUGUAGGCAUAUCCAUUUUGCCGUUUUAUGUUAUCAACAUGGAUGAUCCUUAAAAAAACAUGGACGAUGCGAUUUUGUUUGCAAAUUCGUCUUUUUUAAUUUUUAGCGACUUUGAGUUUGUAUUAUAAUGAUAUACUCUAUCAAUUUAAAUGAAUGAAUAUCACGUUUUUUUUGUAAAAAUCAAAUAAAAUAAAGAAAGUGCAUACAUUAACAUUACACAUACACGCGCACACGCUAGGGUAACACUUCAAUGCCUUUGGCUUUGGUGCCUUUGGGUGCCUUUGUUCCUAUAUCUCUUAAUCAUUCAUUCAUUCUCAUCUAAAUAAUUUAUUUUAAUUAUUUGUCCAACAUUCUUUCUCAUCUAAAGUGAGGUACUCAAAGACACCAAAACCAAAGGCCCUACCAUACACUAGUGACCGGAUUGUGAAAAAAACCAAAUUGACAUCUUUUCAUUUCACACCUCUUCUUUCAAUAACAUUUCCCUUUACCUAAUUAUAUUUUUUUUAGUAAAACCAGUCGCUUUUUGUGCCAAAAGAAAGAAAACAAAAAUGGUUUCUUCAAAUAAAAUACUAUAAUAAUUUGCAUCCAUAUUGCUAGCUAGUAGCUACUUUAAAUUAACACUUCACUCUACUUGUCUUUCUAUAUAUAUCUUUUUGCAUCAGGAACAUUAUUAGUUACCAAUAAAAAAAAUGGACAAGGAACUUCAACUUUGUUCUGUUGAUGCUGCUGAUGAAGAAGAAAUGGUUUCUCAGCAAAAACCACAAAGAAGCAAGGGUGGUCUUGUCACCAUGCCUUUUAUCAUUGGUAUCUUAUCUAAUAUCUAUGAUUUGCAUGCAUUUUUAUUUUAUUUUUACUUUGAAUGAGCUUGAAUUUUUACGUAUAAUAUGGUUUUGUUGCUGUUGUGAUUGUUUUAUUUGCAGGGAAUGAAGCACUUGCUAAGAUGGCAAGUGUGGGACUAUUACCCAACAUGAUAUUGUAUUUGAUGGGAUCAUACAGACUUCACCUUGGCAUAUCUACUCAGAUACUUCUUUUAUCCUCUGCAGCUAGCAAUUUCACACCUGUGAUUGGUGCUUUUAUUGCAGAUUCUUAUCUUGGUCGCUUCUUAGGUGUCGGAAUAGGUUCUUCUAUCAGUUUCCUGGUAUGAUUUACUUUUUUUUAAUUCCAUUGUGUUUUUCUUAUCUUUUGACUUGAAUAUGCCCAUUAUUAAGUUUAAUUUUGGGAGUGAGUUGAAUAGAUUUGAAUAAUUACUCAAUACAAAUUUUCAACUACGAAAAAUGACAAAAAAUGAAGUUUUAAGCUGAAAAUGACACUUUUUUAACUAAGGAAUUGACUACACAUCUUCCAUAUACCAACAGACGCUUUUAGCAACGGCCAUAAAAUUCAUACAGUAUACGGUGUGUCCGAUAUAUUGAAGAUCAUAGCCUACUUAUAUUGAAUUCAUUCAAAUUAAUUAAAUAUUUAAUUAAUUAUUAUAGUAAUUAAAUAAAAUAUUCAUCAGAUAUAUUUCCUUGUAUGAAAAAGAAGCAUACAAAGGAAAAAUGUUCCACCAAACUUGGUAUAAUGAGAAAAUUUUGUAAUGAUGCUCUUUUUUGUUUGUUGUUAUAGGGAAUGUCACUGUUGUGGUUAACAGCCAUGAUCCCGGCGGCACGGCCUUCUGCUUGCAACCAUCCAUCUGAAGGUUGUGAAUCAGCAACACCAGGUCAAUUGGCAAUGUUAUUCUCUGCCUUAAUUCUGAUAGCAAUUGGAAAUGGUGGUAUUACAUGUUCUUUAGCAUUUGGUGCAGACCAAGUUAAUAGAAAAGAUAAUCCCAAUAACUAUAGGGUUUUGGAAAUAUUCUUCAGUUGGUAUUAUGCUUUCAUAACUAUAGCUGUCAUAAUAGCUCUCACCGGAAUAGUAUAUAUCCAAGAUCAUCUUGGUUGGAGAAUUGGUUUUGGUGUUCCAGCAGCACUCAUGCUUAUAUCCACUGUCUUGUUCUUUCUUGCUUCUCCACUUUAUGUGAAAAUUACACAAAGAACCAGCUUGCUCACUGGUUUUGCACAAGUAUCUGUUGCUGCCUAUAAAAACAGAAAACUUUCAUUGCCACCUAAAACAUCUCCUGAAUUUUACCAUCACAAGAAAGACUCAGACCUUGUUAUUCCAACUGAUAAACUAAGGUAUAUAGAAUCAAAUUACUAGCUAUACCAUCUUUUUAGCUUUUGUGUUUCGUGGUUAAAUAUAGACUAAUGAUGAAUACUUCCUCCAAUCUCUAUUAUAAGAGAAAAUUCACUUUUAAAGUUCAUUCAAUAAAUGAUGUAUAUGUAGUUUCUAAUAUACUCCCUCCGCUCUUAUUUAUAAGAAACAAUUGAUUUUUUUGAUUCAUUGAAUAAAUUAUGUAUUUGGUCUAUAUUUAGACAAGAUACAUCAAUUACUCAGUAAAUCUAAAAAGUCAAAAAUUUCUUAUAAAUAGGACCGGAGGGAGUAGACCAUAUAAAUCAUUUAUUGAAUGAAUCUAAAAAGUGAAUUUUCUCUUAUAAUAGAGACCAGAAUAGUAUAUAUCAGGUGUUGAAAUUUAUUAAUCAUCAAAAUAACUUCAUUAACCACAAAUUUGAAUGUGAUUAAGGAAAAUUUUCAAAGGUUCAAUAAAGUUACAUUGCUAGUUAUUGAGUUUCAACACAUGGUUUAUUCAUUCACCAUCUAUAAAUUGAGCAUAAUUAACCACUAAUUUGUACCAUGUUAAUGUUUAUGGUGUUGUUGCGAAAAUUGCCUAAACUUUGUUACACAAAAACCAUUUCCCAUAUUAAACAUUUGAUUUCAUUUUCAGGUUUCUAAAUAAAGCUUGUGUUAUUAAGGAUCAUGAACAAGAUAUAGCCUCAGAUGGUUCAGCGAUAAAUCGUUGGAGUCUAUGCACAGUAGAUCAAGUUGAAGAACUAAAAGCCAUUAUUAAAGUUAUUCCAUUGUGGUCAACAGCGAUCACAAUGUCUAUUAACAUUGGAGGCUCAUUUGGAUUGCUGCAAGCUAAAUCCUUAGACAGACAUAUCAUUUCAAGUUCAAACUUUGAAGUACCAGCAGGAUCUUUUUCUGUUAUCUUGAUAGUUGCAAUAUUAAUAUGGAUAAUUAUCUAUGAUCGUGUUCUUAUUCCUUUAGCAUCAAAGAUAAGAGGGAAGCCCGUAAUUAUCAGCCCAAAGAAAAGAAUGGGAAUUGGGUUGUUUUUUAAUUUUCUUCACUUGAUAACUGCAGCAAUUUUUGAGACUGUAAGGAGAAAGGAAGCAAUCAAAGAAGGAUAUUUGAAUGAUACUCAUGGAGUGUUGAAAAUGUCUGCAAUGUGGCUUGCACCUCAACUUUGUUUGGCUGGUAUAGCAGAAAUGUUCAAUGUUAUUGGCCAGAAUGAGUUUUAUUACAAAGAGUUUCCAAAGAGUAUGUCUAGUGUUGCUGCUUCCCUUUCUGGAUUGGCAAUGGGUGUAGGAAACUUGGUAUCCUCUUUAGUAUUGAGCAUUAUAGAAAGCACUACUCCAAGUGGAGGAAAUGAAGGGUGGGUUUCUGAUAAUAUUAACAAAGGUCAUUUCGACAAGUAUUAUUGGGUUAUAGUUGGAAUUAAUGCUCUAAAUCUAUUGUAUUACUUAGUAUGCAGUUGGGCUUAUGGACCUACAGUUGAUGAAGUAUCCAAUGUGAGUAAAGAAAAUGGUUCCAAAGUGGAAGAAUCAACUGAAUUCAAGCAUAUGAAUCCACACUUUGAUGACAAGGUUAGUGGUGAAACUAGUUCAAAGGAGAAAGAGUUAACUGAAUUCAAGAAU
rnacentral:lncRNA from 1 species